GACGAACGCUGGCGGCGUGCUUAACACAUGCAAGUCGAACGGAAAGGCCCUGCUUUUGUGGGGUGCUCGAGUGGCGAAAGGGUGAGUAACACGUGAGUAACCUGCCCUUGACUUUGGGAUAACUUCAGGAAACUGGGGCUAAUACCGGAUAGGAGCUCCUGCUGCAUGGUGGGGGUUGGAAAGUUUCGGCGGUUGGGGAUGGACUCGCGGCGUAUCAGCUUGUUGGUGGGGUAGUGGCUUACCAAGGCUUUGACGGGUAGCCGGCCUGAGAGGGUGACCGGCCACAUUGGGACUGAGAUACGGCCCAGACUCCUACGGGAGGCAGCAGUGGGGAAUAUUGCACAAUGGGCGGAAGCCUGAUGCAGCAACGCCGCGUGCGGGAUGACGGCCUUCGGGUUGUAAACCGCUUUCGCCUGUGACGAAGCGUGAGUGACGGUAAUGGGUAAAGAAGCACCGGCUAACUACGUG
rnacentral:rRNA from 1 species